rnacentral:rRNA from 1 species
UGAAUUGACGGGGGCCCGCACAAGCGGUGGAGCAUGUGGUUUAAUUCGAUGCAACGCGAAGAACCUUACCUACUCUUGACAUCCAGAGAACUUUCCAGAGAUGGAUUGGUGCCUUCGGGAACUCUGAGACAGGUGCUGCAUGGCUGUCGUCAGCUCGUGUUGUGAAAUGUUGGGUUAAGUCCCGCAACGAGCGCAACCCUUAUCCUUGUUUGCCAGCGAGUAAUGUCGGGAACUCCAGGGAGACUGCCGGUGAUAAACCGGAGGAAGGUGGGGACGACGUCAAGUCAUCAUGGCCCUUACGAGUAGGGCUACACACGUGCUACAAUGGCGCAUACAGAGGGCAGCCAACUUGCGAAAGUGAGCGAAUCCCAAAAAGUGCGUCGUAGUCCGGAUUGGAGUCUGCAACUCGACUCCAUGAAGUCGGAAUCGCUAGUAAUCGUGGAUCAGAAUGCCACGGUGAAUACGUUCCCGGGCCUUGUACACACCGCCCGUCACACCAUGGGAGUGGGCUGCAAAAGAAGUAGGUAGUUUAACCUUCGGGGGGACGCUUACCACUUUGUGGUUCAUGACUGGGGUGAAGUCGUAACAAGGUAGCGCUAGGGGAACCUGGCGCUGGAUCACCUCCUUAAACGAUGAU